UUAGAGUUUGAUCAUGGCUCAGGAUUAGCGCUGGCGGCGUGCCUGACACAUGCAAGUCGAACGAGGCCGCAAGGCCUAGUGGCGGACGGGUGAGUAACACGUGACCAACCAACCUCGAAGUUGGGAAUAGCUCUGCGAAAGCAGGGGUAAUACCGAAUGUGGCCCGGCGCGGACAUCCGCACCGGUCUAAAGAUUUAUCGCUUCGAGACGGGGUCGCGGCCUAUUAGCUCGUUGGUGGGGUAACGGCCUACCAAGGCGAUGAUGGGUAGCUGGUCUGAGAGGACGACCAGCCACACUGGGACUGAGACACGGCCCAGACUCCUACGGGAGGCAGCAGUGAGGAAUCUUCCGCAAUGGGCGAAAGCCUGACGGAGCAACGCCGCGUGUGGGAUGAAGACUCUAGGGUUGUAAACCACUGUCGGAGGGGACGAUCGUGACGGUACCCUCCAAGAAAGCCCCGGCUAACUACGUGCCAGCAGCCGCGGUAAUACGUAGGGGGCGAGCGUUAUCCGGAUUUACUGGGCGUAAAGCGCGUUAAGGCGGAUGGCCAAGUUGGCGGUGAAAUUUCGGGGCUCAACCCCGAAACUGCCGCCAAAACUGGUCGUCUAGAGUAUGGGAGAGGAAGGUGGAAUUCCGGGUGUAGUAGUGAAAUGCGUAGAUAUCCCGGAGGAACACCAGCGGCGAAGGCGGCCUUCUGGCCCAUAACUGACGCUGUAGCGCGAAAGCGUGGGGAGCGAACGGGAUAGAUACCCCNGUAGUCCACGCCCUAACUUGUGCA
rnacentral:rRNA from 1 species